CGCAAGGAGGCAGCUAACCACGGUAGGGUCAGCGACUGGGGUGAAGUCGUAACAAGGUAGCCGUAGGGGAACCUGCGGCUGGAUCACCUCCUUUCUAAGG
rnacentral:rRNA from 1 species